GGGUUGUGAGGUUAAGCGACUAAGCGUACACGGUGGAUGCCCUGGCAGUCAGAGGCGAUGAAGGACGUGCUAAUCUGCGAUAAGCGUCGGUAAGGUGAUAUGAACCGUUAUAACCGGCGAUUUCCGAAUGGGGAAACCCAGUGUGAUUCGUCACACUAUCAUUAACUGAAUCCAUAGGUUAAUGAGGCGAACCGGGGGAACUGAAACAUCUAAGUACCCCGAGGAAAAGAAAUCAACCGAGAUUCCCCCAGUAGCGGCGAGCGAACGGGGAGCAGCCCAGAGCCUGAAUCAGUGUGUGUGUUAGUGGAAGCGUCUGGAAAGGCGCGCGAUACAGGGUGACAGCCCCGUACACAAAAAUGCACAUGCUGUGAGCUCGAUGAGUAGGGCGGGACACGUGGUAUCCUGUCUGAAUAUGGGGGGACCAUCCUCCAAGGCUAAAUACUCCUGACUGACCGAUAGUGAACCAGUACCGUGAGGGAAAGGCGAAAAGAACCCCGGCGAGGGGAGUGAAAAAGAACCUGAAACCGUGUACGUACAAGCAGUGGGAGCACGCUUAGGCGUGUGACUGCGUACCUUUUGUAUAAUGGGUCAGCGACUUAUAUUCUGUAGCAAGGUUAACCGAAUAGGGGAGCCGAAGGGAAACCGAGUCUUAACUGGGCGUUAAGUUGCAGGGUAUAGACCCGAAACCCGGUGAUCUAGCCAUGGGCAGGUUGAAGGUUGGGUAACACUAACUGGAGGACCGAACCGACUAAUGUUGAAAAAUUAGCGGAUGACUUGUGGCUGGGGGUGAAAGGCCAAUCAAACCGGGAGAUAGCUGGUUCUCCCCGAAAGCUAUUUAGGUAGCGCCUCGUGAAUUCAUCUCCGGGGGUAGAGCACUGUUUCGGCAAGGGGGUCAUCCCGACUUACCAACCCGAUGCAAACUGCGAAUACCGGAGAAUGUUAUCACGGGAGACACACGGCGGGUGCUAACGUCCGUCGUGAAGAGGGAAACAACCCAGACCGCCAGCUAAGGUCCCAAAGUCAUGGUUAAGUGGGAAACGAUGUGGGAAGGCCCAGACAGCCAGGAUGUUGGCUUAGAAGCAGCCAUCAUUUAAAGAAAGCGUAAUAGCUCACUGGUCGAGUCGGCCUGCGCGGAAGAUGUAACGGGGCUAAACCAUGCACCGAAGCUGCGGCAGCGACACUAUGUGUUGUUGGGUAGGGGAGCGUUCUGUAAGCCUGUGAAGGUGUACUGUGAGGUAUGCUGGAGGUAUCAGAAGUGCGAAUGCUGACAUAAGUAACGAUAAAGCGGGUGAAAAGCCCGCUCGCCGGAAGACCAAGGGUUCCUGUCCAACGUUAAUCGGGGCAGGGUGAGUCGACCCCUAAGGCGAGGCCGAAAGGCGUAGUCGAUGGGAAACAGGUUAAUAUUCCUGUACUUGGUGUUACUGCGAAGGGGGGACGGAGAAGGCUAUGUUGGCCGGGCGACGGUUGUCCCGGUUUAAGCGUGUAGGCUGGUUUUCCAGGCAAAUCCGGAAAAUCAAGGCUGAGGCGUGAUGACGAGGCACUACGGUGCUGAAGCAACAAAUGCCCUGCUUCCAGGAAAAGCCUCUAAGCAUCAGGUAACAUCAAAUCGUACCCCAAACCGACACAGGUGGUCAGGUAGAGAAUACCAAGGCGCUUGAGAGAACUCGGGUGAAGGAACUAGGCAAAAUGGUGCCGUAACUUCGGGAGAAGGCACGCUGAUAUGUAGGUGAAGUCCCUCGCGGAUGGAGCUGAAAUCAGUCGAAGAUACCAGCUGGCUGCAACUGUUUAUUAAAAACACAGCACUGUGCAAACACGAAAGUGGACGUAUACGGUGUGACGCCUGCCCGGUGCCGGAAGGUUAAUUGAUGGGGUCAGCGCAAGCGAAGCUCUUGAUCGAAGCCCCGGUAAACGGCGGCCGUAACUAUAACGGUCCUAAGGUAGCGAAAUUCCUUGUCGGGUAAGUUCCGACCUGCACGAAUGGCGUAAUGAUGGCCAGGCUGUCUCCACCCGAGACUCAGUGAAAUUGAACUCGCUGUGAAGAUGCAGUGUACCCGCGGCAAGACGGAAAGACCCCGUGAACCUUUACUAUAGCUUGACACUGAACAUUGAGCCUUGAUGUGUAGGAUAGGUGGGAGGCUUUGAAGUGUGGACGCCAGUCUGCAUGGAGCCGGCCUUGAAAUACCACCCUUUAAUGUUUGAUGUUCUAACGUUGACCCGUAAUCCGGGUUGCGGACAGUGUCUGGUGGGUAGUUUGACUGGGGCGGUCUCCUCCUAAAGAGUAACGGAGGAGCACGAAGGUUGGCUAAUCCUGGUCGGACAUCAGGAGGUUAGUGCAAUGGCAUAAGCCAGCUUGACUGCGAGCGUGACGGCGCGAGCAGGUGCGAAAGCAGGUCAUAGUGAUCCGGUGGUUCUGAAUGGAAGGGCCAUCGCUCAACGGAUAAAAGGUACUCCGGGGAUAACAGGCUGAUACCGCCCAAGAGUUCAUAUCGACGGCGGUGUUUGGCACCUCGAUGUCGGCUCAUCACAUCCUGGGGCUGAAGUAGGUCCCAAGGGUAUGGCUGUUCGCCAUUUAAAGUGGUACGCGAGCUGGGUUUAGAACGUCGUGAGACAGUUCGGUCCCUAUCUGCCGUGGGCGCUGGAGAACUGAGGGGGGCUGCUCCUAGUACGAGAGGACCGGAGUGGACGCAUCACUGGUGUUCGGGUUGUCAUGCCAAUGGCACUGCCCGGUAGCUAAAUGCGGAAGAGAUAAGUGCUGAAAGCAUCUAAGCACGAAACUUGCCCCGAGAUGAGUUCUCCCUGACUCCUUGAGAGUCCUGAAGGAACGUUGAAGACGACGACGUUGAUAGGCCGGGUGUGUAAGCGCAGCGAUGCGUUGAGCUAACCGGUACUAAUGAACCGUGAGGCUUAACCUUACAACGCCGAAG
rnacentral:rRNA from 1 species